CCUACGGGAGGCUGCAGUGAGGAAUAUUGGUCAAUGGGCGAGAGCCUGAACCAGCCAAGUCGCGUGAGGGAGUACUGCCCUAUGGGUUGUAAACCUCUUUUGUCGGGGAGCAAAAGCCGGACGUGUCAGGCUGUGAGAGUACUCGUAGAAAAAGCAUCGGCUAACUCCGUGCCAGCAGCCGCGGUAAUACCGAGGCUGCGAGCGUUAUCCGGAUUUAUAGGGUUUAAAGGGUGCGGAGGCGGAUUUUUAAGUCAGCGGUCAAAUCGUGGGGUUCAACCCCAUCCAGCCGGUGAACCUGGGGAUCUAGAGGGGGCGAGAGGUAUGCGGAAUGCGUGGUGUAGCGGAGAAAGGCA
rnacentral:rRNA from 1 species